AAUUUUGGAUAAUGGGGGAAACCCUGAUCCAGCCAUCUCGCGUGUAUGAUGAAGGCCUUCGGGUUGUACUGUACUUUUGGCAGAGACGAAAAGGCAUCCCCUAAUACGGCUGCUUCUGACGGUCUCUGCAGAAUACGCACCGGCUAACUACGUGCCAGCAGCCGCGGUAAUCCGUAGGGUGCAAGCUUUAAUCGGAAUUACUGGGCGUAAAGCGGGUGUAGGGGGUUCGGAAAGAAAGAUGUGAAAUCCCAGGGCUCAACCUUGGAACUGCAUUUUUAACUGCCGAGCUAGAGUAUGUCAGAGGGGGGUAGAAUUCCACGUGUAGCAGUGAAAUGCGUAGAUAUGUGGAGGAAUACCGAUGGCGAAGGCAGCCCCCUGGGAUAAUACUGACGCUCAGACACGAAAGCGUGGGGAGCAAACAGG
rnacentral:rRNA from 1 species